AUCCUUGUAGUUUACUUAAAACAUUACAUUUUCGUUGUAAAAACAAAUUUUAUUUUAAGGGUU
rnacentral:tRNA from 1 species